rnacentral:rRNA from 1 species
CACGUAGGGCGCAAGCGUUGUCCGGAAUUAUUGGGCGUAAAGAGCUCGUAGGCGGUCUGUUGCGUCUGCUGUGAAAACCCGGGGCUUAACCCCUGGCUUGCAGUGGAUACGGACAGACUAGAGGUAGGUAGGGGAGAAUGGAAUUCCCGGUGUAGCGGUGAAAUGCGCAGAUAUCUGGAGGAACACCGGUGGCGAAGGCGGCAUCCUGGACCGGUAUUGACGCUGAUGCGCGAAAGCCAGGGGAGCAAAGCGGG